rnacentral:rRNA from 1 species
CCGGGGGAACUGAAACAUCUAAGUACCCCGAGGAAAAGAAAUCAACCGAGAUUCCCCCAGUAGCGGCGAGCGAACGGGGAGCAGCCCAGAGCCUGAAUCAGUGUGUGUGUUAGUGGAAGCGUCUGGAAAGGCGCGCGAUACAGGGUGACAGCCCCGUACACAAAAAUGCACAUGCUGUGAGCUCGAUGAGUAGGGCGGGACACGUGGUAUCCUGUCUGAAUAUGGGGGGACCAUCCUCCAAGGCUAAAUACUCCUGACUGACCGAUAGUGAACCAGUACCGUGAGGGAAAGGCGAAAAGAACCCCGGCGAGGGGAGUGAAAAAGAACCUGAAACCGUGUACGUACAAGCAGUGGGAGCACAGAGCAAUCUGUGUGACUGCGUACCUUUUGUAUAAUGGGUCAGCGACUUAUAUUCUGUAGCAAGGUUAACCGAAUAGGGGAGCCGAAGGGAAACCGAGUCUUAACUGGGCGUUAAGUUGCAGGGUAUAGACCCGAAACCCGGUGAUCUAGCCAUGGGCAGGUUGAAGGUUGGGUAACACUAACUGGAGGACCGAACCGACUAAUGUUGAAAAAUUAGCGGAUGACUUGUGGCUGGGGGUGAAAGGCCAAUCAAACCGGGAGAUAGCUGGUUCUCCCCGAAAGCUAUUUAGGUAGCGCCUCGUGAAUUCAUCUCCGGGGGUAGAGCACUGUUUCGGCAAGGGGGUCAUCCCGACUUACCAACCCGAUGCAAACUGCGAAUACCGGAGAAUGUUAUCACGGGAGACACACGGCGGGUGCUAACGUCCGUCGUGAAGAGGGAAACAACCCAGACCGCCAGCUAAGGUCCCAAAGUCAUGGUUAAGUGGGAAACGAUGUGGGAAGGCCCAGACAGCCAGGAUGUUGGCUUAGAAGCAGCCAUCAUUUAAAGAAAGCGUAAUAGCUCACUGGUCGAGUCGGCCUGCGCGGAAGAUGUAACGGGGCUAAACCAUGCACCGAAGCUGCGGCAGCGACGCUUAUGCGUUGUUGGGUA